rnacentral:rRNA from 1 species
GAAUAUUGGUCAAUGGAUGGAAGUCUGAACCAGCCAUGCCGCGUGCAGGAAGAAGGCCUUAUGGGUUGUAAACUGCUUUUGCCAGGGGAUAAAAUAGCUGUGCGCGGCGAAUUGCAGGUACCUGGUGAAUAAGCCACGGCUAACUACGUUCCAGCAGCCGCGGUAAUACGUAGGUGGCAAGCGUUGUCCGGAUUUAUUGGGUUUAAAGGGUGCGUAGGCGGCCCUGUAAGUCAGUGGUGAAAUACUCCAGCUUAACUGGAGGGGUGCCAUUGAUACUGCAGGGCUUGAGUGGAGUAGAAGUAGGCGGAAUUGACGGUGUAGCGGUGAAAUGCUUAGAUAUCGUCAAGAACACCGAUAGUGAAGACAGCUUACUAUGUUUCAACUGAUGCUGAGGCACGAAAGUGUGGGGAUCAAACAGG